rnacentral:rRNA from 1 species
AGCGAACGCUGGCGGCAGGCUUUACACAUGCAAGUCGAGCGGGCAUCUUCGGAUGUCAGCGGCAGACGGGUGAGUAACACGUGGGAACGUACCCUUCGGUUCGGAACAACUCUGGGAAACUGGAGCUAAUACCGGAUACGCCCUUAUGGGGAAAGGUUUACUGCCGAAGGAUCGGCCCGCGUCUGAUUAGCUAGUUGGUGGGGUAACGGCCUACCAAGGCGACGAUCAGUAGCUGGUCUGAGAGGAUGAUCAGCCACACUGGGACUGAGACACGGCCCAGACUCCUACGGGAAGCAGCAGUGGGGAAUAUUGGACAAUGGGCGCAAGCCUGAUCCAGCCAUGCCGCGUGAGUGAUGAAGGCCUUAGGGUUGUAAAGCUCUUUUGUCCGGGACGAUAAUGACGGUACCGGAAGAAUAAGCCCCGGCUAACUUCGUG